UAGGGAAUCUUCCACAAUGGGCGCAAGUCUGAUGGAGCAACGCCGCGUGAGUGAAGAAGGGUUUCGGCUCGUAAAGCUCUGUUGUUAAAGAAGAACGUGGGUAAGAGUAACUGUUUACCCAGUGACGGUAUUUAACCAGAAAGCCACGGCUAACUGCGUGGCAG
rnacentral:rRNA from 1 species